rnacentral:rRNA from 1 species
UACGUAGGGGGCUAGCGUUGUCCGGAUUUAUUGGGCGUAAAGAGCGUGUAGGCGGCCAGGUAGGUCUGCUGUGAAAACUCGAGGCUCAACCUCGAGACGUCGGCGGAAACCAUCUGGCUAGAGUCCGGAAGAGGAGAGUGGAAUUCCUGGUGUAGCGGUGAAAUGCGCAGAUAUCAGGAAGAACACCCGUGGCGAAGGCGGCUCCUCUGGGACGGUACUGACGCUGAGACGCGAAAGCGUGGGGAGCGAAC